UACGGGGGGGGCAAGCGUUGUUCGGAAUUACUGGGCGUAAAGGGCGCGUAGGCGGCCUUGUCAGUCAGACGUGAAAUCCCCAGGCUUAACCUGGGAACUGCGUCUGAUACUACAAGGCUGGAGUGCGGGAGAGGGAUGUGGAAUUCCAGGUGUAGCGGUGAAAUGCGCAGAUAUCAGGAGGAACACCGGUGGCGAAGGCGGGUCUCUGGGCCGAUACUGACGCUGAGGAGCGAAAGCGUGGGGAGCGAACAGG
rnacentral:rRNA from 1 species